rnacentral:lncRNA from 1 species
AGCGUAUUUGUAAAAACUAAAAACCGGUACAGUUUUCCCUGCUCGAGUCCCAGAGAGCGAGGCGGGGAAGCCAAGGGCCAAGACAGGAGGAGAAGCGUCCUUCAUCUCCCGGCCUUUCCGAGUCCACAGCCGAGAGCGCGCGCUCGAGUCCGGGGCGACGGGGCGGUCCAGGCUCCCUGCUUGCUCCAGCGGCCGUCGGGGCUCCCGGUCGGAUGGCUUCCCUUGUACUCCGCAGUCGCUGUCUCCGCCGGAGUCGGUGCAGCACGGUGGGGUCGGUCGAGGGAUGGGGUUGGCGGGGAGAAAGGUUGUGCCUCCGGCCUCCUGGGCCGGAUCGAGUCCCUAGCGCGCCGAGGUGUCGGGCGUCGUCGUGGGCGGCACGGCGGUGGUCAGCGGCCUCGUGGUCUCUCCGGAGUCGGGCGUGAGCGGGCCGGGGUCGGGGCCGGGGGCCGUCCCGGGCGGCUGGGGCGGGGUGUGCGGCCCGCCGCGCACGGGCUGCCAGAUGAGGCUGUAGUAGACGGCCAGCACGAUGGCGGCCAGCGAGACGGAGAGGACGUAGGCCAGCACGGUGGCCAGGCGCACCCACUUCUUGUUGGUCUUGGCCGCCAUGCGCGCCUUCUUGUCCCCGGUGUAAGUGGCCGGCUUGCCCCGCUCCCCGCCCGCCCCCGCCUCCUUCUCCUUCAUGGGGGCGCGGCCUUUGGCCCGCUGCUCCACCGCCCUCUCCGUCUUGCUGAGGCUCCCGAGCGGGAUGGGCCCCGAGGGACGCGCCGCCGCCGCCGAUCACAUCACGACAUGCCCCGGGGCGCCGGGAGAACCAGGCGCUGCUGCUGCUGCUGCUUCUGCUGCAGCGGGUGGGCCUCGCAGGCAGGCGGCGGACGGCGAUCGACGGCCUCGGCGGCGAGCUUGCGACGCGCCCGGCUGCAGGGAGGCGGCCGUGGGUGGGAAGCCCGUCGGCGGAAAGGCAGCGUCGCUCGGCCCCGGCCCGCGGCGAGGAUGCUGCUGUCGGGGCGCGCGCCUCCCUCUCUCUUUCGCAGCAGCUGA